GAUGAACGCUGGCGGCGUGCCUAAUACAUGCAAGUCGAGCGAACGGACGAGAAGCUUGCUUCUCUGAUGUUAGCGGCGGACGGGUGAGUAACACGUGGAUAACCUACCUAUAAGACUGGGAUAACUUCGGGAAACCGGAGCUAAUACCGGAUAAUAUUUUGAACCGCAUGGUUCAAAAGUGAAAGACGGUCUUGCUGUCACUUAUAGAUGGAUCCGCGCUGCAUUAGCUAGUUGGUAAGGUAACGGCUUACCAAGGCAACGAUGCAUAGCCGACCUGAGAGGGUGAUCGGCCACACUGGAACUGAGACACGGUCCAGACUCCUACGGGAGGCAGCAGUAGGGAAUCUUCCGCAAUGGGCGAAAGCCUGACGGAGCAACGCCGCGUGAGUGAUGAAGGUCUUCGGAUCGUAAAACUCUGUUAUUAGGGAAGAACAUAUGUGUAAGUAACUGUGCACAUCUUGACGGUACCUAAUCAGAAAGCCAGGCUAACUACGUG
rnacentral:rRNA from 1 species